GAUGAACGCUGGCGGCGUGCCUAAUACAUGCAAGUCGAGCGAACGGACGAGAAGCUUGCUUCUCUGAUGUUAGCGGCGGACGGGUGAGUAACACGUGGAUAACCUACCUAUAAGACUGGGAUAACUUCGGGAAACCGGAGCUAAUACCGGAUAAUAUUUUGAACCGCAUGGUUCAAAAGUGAAAGACGGUCUUGCUGUCACUUAUAGAUGGAUCCGCGCUGCAUUAGCUAGUUGGUAAGGUAACGGCUUACCAAGGCAACGAUGCAUAGCCGACCUGAGAGGGUGAUCGGCCACACUGGAAUUGAGACACGGUCCAGACUCCUACGGGAGGCAGCAGUAGGGAAUCUUCCGCAAUGGGCGAAAGCCUGACGGAGCAACGCCGCGUGAGUGAUGAAGGUCUUCGGAUCGUAAAACUCUGUUAUUAGGGAAGAACAUAUGUGUAAGUAACUGUGCACAUCUUGACGGUACCUAAUCAGAAAGCCACGGCUAACUACGUGCCAGCAGCCGCGGUAAUACGUAGGUGGCAAGCGUUAUCCGGAAUUAUUGGGCGUAAAGCGCGCGUAGGCGGUUUUUUAAGUCUGAUGUGAAAGCCCACGGCUCAACCGUGGAGGGUCAUUGGAAACUGGAAAACUUGAGUGCAGAAGAGGAAAGUGGAAUUCCAUGUGUAGCGGUGAAAUGCGCAGAGAUAUGGAGGAACACCAGUGGCGAAGGCGACUUUCUGGUCUGUAACUGACGCUGAUGUGCGAAAGCGUGGGGAUCAAACAGGAUUAGAUACCCUGGUAGUCCACGCCGUAAACGAUGAGUGCUAAGUGUUAGGGGGUUUCCGCCCCUUAGUGCUGCAGCUAACGCAUUAAGCACUCCGCCUGGGGAGUACGACCGCAAGGUUGAAACUCAAAGGAAUUGACGGGGACCCGCACAAGCGGUGGAGCAUGUGGUUUAAUUCGAAGCAACGCGAAGAACCUUACCAAAUCUUGACAUCCUUUGACAACUCUAGAGAUAGAGCCUUCCCCUUCGGGGGACAAAGUGACAGGUGGUGCAUGGUUGUCGUCAGCUCGUGUCGUGAGAUGUUGGGUUAAGUCCCGCAACGAGCGCAACCCUUAAGCUUAGUUGCCAUCAUUAAGUUGGGCACUCUAAGUUGACUGCCGGUGACAAACCGGAGGAAGGUGGGGAUGACGUCAAAUCAUCAUGCCCCUUAUGAUUUGGGCUACACACGUGCUACAAUGGACAAUACAAAGGGCAGCGAAACCGCGAGGUCAAGCAAAUCCCAUAAAGUUGUUCUCAGUUCGGAUUGUAGUCUGCAACUCGACUACAUGAAGCUGGAAUCGCUAGUAAUCGUAGAUCAGCAUGCUACGGUGAAUACGUUCCCGGGUCU
rnacentral:rRNA from 1 species